GAUUUGUUUAAAUUUAUGAGUCACCAAACUAAUGUACGAAUAAAACAAACGCUACCAAUUUAUUUAUUUAUUGAUGUUUAACCCCGACGUCAUGUACUUUUCAACUUUUCUAGGUGCCGCUAGUGUCACAUAUCCGUUAAAAUCCAUAGCCAACGAAAUCCAUCGAUAUUUGUGCAUUGUCGGCUCUAGGAGCGCGUGGUUUGGACUCUGGUGUUACCACGACCAAGUUUUACGUUUUACUGUCGGUGAAAGCGACGGUACCGUGAAACCGCCGCCAUUUCAGCAGCUCAAGGGAUGUAUGCAAUUGUGGAAUUUAGGCUAACCCAAGAGGUGGAGAUCGUGCCUUGCACGUGGGUCACGGGAAACAACUGUUUAUGGCCGAAGGUGUCCACCGAUAAGGCUGUCAAGCUAGUGCGAAAGGGGGGGCCACCAGGACCAGGGUUUUCUGAGUUCGAGGUGACUGUGAAAGGACUAUUCAAUUCCUACGAAGAAGGGCGAUCUAAGUUGGAGCGGUCGCGGUUCACAUCUGAUCUCUCGGACGAGGAGAUACGCCCAAAGCGUAGGAGAUUUCGCCCCACACGCUGGAGCGAGUCCGACUCAAGCUCGGAUGAAUUCCCGGAAGCCCCGAUGCCGCUCUGCGCACGGCAGAACUCGCCCAGUAGCCAGAGACUGGAAUCACAGAGUGCGAGCCCGGCAAGAUCAAUACACAGUGAAAUGUCGCAAGCUGCACUAAUGCGAGGUGCUAGUGGUUCGUCCCAGUCGUCUAGCACUUCGAUAAACACGCUGGCUCCCAGUCCACAAGAUAAAGGUGCCUGUGGUUCGUUCCAGACACCUAAAACGUCAACAAGGACACCGGCUCCCAGUUCACGAAAUAAAGCGCCUGCAGUUGUCUUUAUCUUCGUAGAUGCCAGUGGUUUUUCAACCGCAUCUCAAACAUUGACAAGGAUGUCGGCUCCCAGUCGAUUAGAUCAAGCACUGCAGGCUAUGCAACACAUGACGCCUAGCACCAGUGCUUCGACCUGCGCUGAUCUGCGGGCCACUGCUAGGAUCUUGAGUGCUGCUGAGUUUCAGCGACGGGUGCUGAAUGGGAUGAGCGUCAUGAGGAGCCAGCAGACGGAGAUAAUGGACAUGAUUUCGACAUUGCUACGAGCGCGUGAGAGUUUCGUUGUAGAGCCCAGCCAGCCGAUCCUCGUUGAUCCCCUCGACACUCCUGAAGCAAUUGAGGUGUUUGAUGGCGCUCUUGCAGAUGCCACGAGUGAGGCUUUGGUAAGCAAUUGCUGUUAUCAAUGCCUGCCCAUACUCUAGUUUUUGUCACUUACUGAGGCAAGUAUUGGUGUUUGCAUUCUCUAGGCUUUGCUGUUAUGUCUUAUCCCUAGUGUGCAGCUAAGGUUAAGACAUGCAGAUAACAAAUAAGCUAGGAGCAAGCUGUGAUUUUAAAUCGAGAUGCAUCGAAGGGGUGAGACUGCCUGUUCUCUGGUUGUGGAGCUGACCUCCCUUGGGGACCUGUCUAUCAAAACAACUGUAAGGUCUAUGCUUGCACACCUGAUUAGUGACGAAGCUGCAGCCAAGUUCAGCAUGGAUGGGCGCAAAGGGAAG
rnacentral:misc_RNA from 1 species